UACAAUAAAUAUUAAUUAAUAUUUUUGGUUAAAUUGAAGUUAAAAUAUUUUUGAUUUUAAUAGUUAAUUUUUUGGGUGAAAUUUAAAAUUUACAUAAAGUUGAUUUGAUUCUUUGAAAUUUAAAGUUUAAACUAGGAUUAGAUACCCUAUUAUUUUAUUCAUAAAUUAUUACCCGGGUAGUAUUAGUUAUGUUCUUUAAACCUAAAGAAUUUGGCGGUAAUUUAUUCUAUUCAGAGGAAUUUGUCCCGUUAUCGAUAGUCCUCGUUUUAUCUUACUUAUAUUUUGUUUAUAUCAGUAUGUAUACCGCCGUUAUAAGUUUAUUCUAAUAGGAUUUUUAAUUUACUUAAUUUUUAAUUUUAC
rnacentral:rRNA from 1 species